AUGGUCUAUGAAAAUUGUCCGGCAAAACUCACUCUCCCCAUGGUCCCCAUUGUCCAUCGACCGGCUUGAGAUGCUUCCGAGACACGCACUCUCCACGGUGGCACCACUUUC